CCUUAGCAGCAAUGACUGUCCAGUGGAAGGCAGGGAGUGGGAACCUGGAGCAGGGCCAUGGGAAACGAGAACCAAACACAACCCUGCUGCCCCACAAGCUGACCAGCCCUACAAGUUAUUCCUGGUGGCGGCUGAUUUUUCCCAUCUGUUGCUGAAUUUUCAGAAGAAAACCAUCACCUUGCCGAGAGAAAUACCCGCGAUCAAAGCGCUCAGGAACACAGCGCAGGCAGAUCUUUGCUGAAUGCCCGGGCUUCUGACUUUGCAAAUAGUUUGCCUUUUUCGUAUGAACAAAAAAAAGUGAGGCAAAACUUUCCAAGAGCGAGACUGAACGAAUCGGGAUGAAAGAUAACAGUUGUAACUGCAGGCUGCGAUCCGACCUGUUCUGCAGCACUAGCUGCCGCUUUACCAUCUCCCAGUGCAUUUUGUUGCGCUGCAGUUUAAAUUUAGUGCUUAAGCAUUUGCGGGCGUUUCGCUUCUUUCUUCCGCUUCUGAUCAUUAUAUAUUAAGUGAACAUCAGCUGCCCUUUAAACUGAUCAGCUCGUCUCUUUGCCUACCGUCUUUUAACCAAACGUUUGGCUAGUACAGUAUUUACAAACAAGCCCGGCACGAAAUAGCAUCGGAGUUCCUGUAACUGUAAAAGUUUUGUAAAGCUGGAAAAAUGUAUUCUAUUCCACGGGGAUGCGCGGGUUUGGUUAAUUGUGAGCGCGUUAUCUUGGCUUAAUGUGACCUUGUCAGCCUGUUUUUUUAUAUAUAUAUAAAUCAGAAAGGAGUUGCUCAAGGCAUUCUGAAGUUUGGAUGAUUAUGUAUUAGUAACUGUUAUUCAUAGUAAAUAUGCUUCGUUCGCUUUUUCUCAGCAACGAAUUUGUUUUUAUAUAAUCUGCUUUAAAAAUUGGAUGUUAGGAAUAUUCAUUCUGUUGAACUCAUGGCAGAUUUAGGCAUCUGCACGAAAAGAGGUCGAAGGGGCUACCAACCUCUCUCCAGUUCAGUCAUCAGUCUAUGCUCUGACUUCUAAAAAUCAGAAAUAAAUCUAAUUCUUCUUAAAUUCUAGCUCUUUAUCUGUCUGGGUUAAAACAAAACCACCCGCUGUAUAAAUGAUGGGGAGACGUAUACAAUUCUCCAGCUGGAACUGUU